CCUUGUGAAAUUCUCGGUGUGCACGUUCAAUUUCCUCUUCUACAACAUUUGGCAUUCUUUCUGGAAGAGUUGAGGCAUCAUGAGCUCUCCCAUGUUACCGUUGAAAAUCAGGAUAAGAGUGUUUGUUCUUAGUGUAGGAUUUGAGCUUAGGUCUUACUGAUUCUAAGAGGUGCUUUAUUCUUCAAAAUUCUGUGUCUUUCAGGACAUUGGAGCAGGAAAACCUUAGCUGCUGCUGCUGUGGAGUCGUGAUUAUCCAGGCCCAACGGCUAGAAGUCAAAGUUUCCUAGAUGUGAGUUCACUAACUUGUGCGGGAGCGCCUACAUUACAAUCAUCUGAGAACUUGUUAUAAAUAUAGAUCCCUUGGUCCCAGCUCAAGAUUCUUCCCCCCAGCUCUAGACAUUUUGAUUCGGCCAUUCAGGAGUGGGGACUGAGUGAUACUGAGUGAUAUUUGAUACUGAGACAGAAUUGUAUCAAAUUCCAUUUUAGGUUGUUCAUUUACUUAUACUAAAAAUGGCUCUUUUCCUUUGA